rnacentral:rRNA from 1 species
GACGUAGGGCGCGAGCGUUGUCCGGAUUUAUUGGGCGUAAAGAGCUCGUAGGCGGCUCGGUAAGUCGGGUGUGAAAACUCUAGGCUCAACCUAGAGACGCCACCUGAUACUGCUGUGGCUAGAGUCCGGUAGGGGAGCAUGGAAUUCCUGGUGUAGCAGUGAAAUGCGUAGAGAUGUGGAGGAAUACCGAUGGCGAAGGCAGCCCCCUGGGUCAAUACUGACGCUCAUGCACGAAAGCGUGGGGAG